UUCCAGUAAGCUAACUUUGUUACGACUUACCUCUUCUUUAGAAGAGGGUGACGGGCGAUAUGUACACCUAAGUCCAAUUUCGUUCUUAAUUUUUAUUAAAAAACUACUUCCAAAUCCUCUUUUGUUGUUUCUUUAGAAAGAAGUCCUUUAAUUAGUUUAAUGAGUAAUUAGUUUUAUCUUCUCCAUGAACUUCACCUUGACCUGACUUGAUAAANAUUGAUGGGGCAAAAGAUAAAAAUUUUGCCUUUAGACGGCGGUAUAAAA
rnacentral:rRNA from 1 species